rnacentral:rRNA from 1 species
AACGAACGCUGGCGGCAUGCCUAACACAUGCAAGUCGAACGAGAUCUUCGGGUCUAGUGGCGCACGGGUGCGUAACGCGUGGGAAUCUGCCCUUUGGUUCGGAAUAACAGUUGGAAACGACUGCUAAUACCGGAUGAUGACGAAAGUCCAAAGAUUUAUCGCCAGAGGAUGAGCCCGCGUAGGAUUAGCUAGUUGGUGUGGUAAAGGCGCACCAAGGCGACGAUCCUUAGCUGGUCUGAGAGGAUGAUCAGCCACACUGGGACUGAGACACGGCCCAGACUCCUACGGGAGGCAGCAGUGGGGAAUAUUGGACAAUGGGCGAAAGCCUGAUCCAGCAAUGCCGCGUGAGUGAUGAAGGCCUUAGGGUUGUAAGGCUCUUUUACCCGGGAUGAUAAUGACAGUACCGGGAGAAUAAGCUCCGGCUAACUCCGUGCCAGCAGCAGCCGCGG